rnacentral:rRNA from 1 species
GGGGAAUAUUGGACAAUGGACCAAAAGUCUGAUCCAGCAAUUCUGUGUGCGCGAUGACGUUUUUCGGAAUGUAAAGUGCUUUCAGUUGGGAAGAAAAAAAUGACGGUACCAACAGAAGAAGUGACGGCUAAAUACGUGCCAGCAGCCGCGGUAAUACGUAUGUCACAAGCGUUAUCCGGAUUUAUUGGGCGUAAAGCGCGUCUAGGUGGUUAUGUAAGUCUGAUGUGAAAAUGCAGGGCUCAACUCUGUAUUGCGUUGGAAACUGCAUGACUAGAGUACUGGAGAGGUAAGCGGAACUACAAGUGUAGAGGUGAAAUUCGUAGAUAUUUGUAGGAAUGCCGAUGGGGAAGCCAGCUUACUGGACAGAUACUGACGCUAAAGCGCGAAAGCGUGGGUAGCAAACAGGAUUAGAUACCCUGGUAGUCCACGCCGUAAACGAUGAUUACUAGGUGUUGGGGGUCGAACCUCAGCGCCCAAGCUAACGCGAUAAGUAAUCCGCCUGGGGAGUACGUACGCAAGUAUG